AUUGCAGGCUGCAACUCGCCUGCAUGAAGUCGGAAUUGCUAGUAAUCGUAGGUCAGCAUACUACGGUGAAUACGUUCCCGGGCCUUGUACACACCGCCCGUCAAACCAUGAGAGUUGGCAACACCCGAAGUCGGUAGUCUAACCGCAAGGAGGCAGCAGUCGAAGGUGGGGUUGAUGAUUGGGGUGAAGUCGUAACAAGGUAAC
rnacentral:rRNA from 1 species